CUGAGCUCAAAACGUUAACUCUUUUUUCUCUCCAGCCAGAUUGGUUGAGUUUCCCGAGAAAUUUUUCUGUUUUCGUUUGUUCGGAACACUACCGCUACUCCACAAGAGCCUUCAGUGCGUUUGUCUAUUUGUUUUGAUGUUUUAAUUUUGAAAUUAAACCAUGGUCCCAACGAAUACACGCAGUAUGAUGGUUCCUUCUGCCGUGGCCACCCACAUUUGGAGAUAAGUGGCAAGGUCUGCCAGGGUUGGGCGUGUCAGCAUCCUGGACCAGUUAUGUGGACAAGUUUGGUGAUUAUAAAAGGAGGGAGCGAUGGCCCAUUCAGACAACACCCGUGUGUGUGUGUGUGUGUGAGUGAGAGAAGUCACUGCAAAGGUUCAAAGACGACGCAGCCGGUGCUUUCAGGACCACGGAGAGUUCCAGUGUUCACCUGCUCCUGCUGGGUUCUGGUUUCCAACUACCGCUGUGCCAGGGACAGUCCAGGGAUACCAUCUCCGCGGAAGAUUACCCAAGAAACAGAACUGUUAACAGUUUGCAGCCAUGGAAGAUAUACUCAGGAAAAUCCAAAACAGCAGGCUUUCCUCCUAUGAGAAAAAGGCUGGACAAAUCCCUAUGUGUGAUAGCAGAGAGAGAUGUGCUGUCAAGCAAGGACCCAGGACUGGUAAACUGUGUGACUGUGCCAGGGGAACCAUCUGCAACUCCUUCCUCCUCAAAUGUAGUUGAUGCUGAGUGGAAAGAAAAGGGAGAAGGUCCUGUGGAAGGAAGUGUAAUCAGUUCAUUAGCCAUCCCUGAGGAAAAGACAGAUGAUUUAGCAUUGAAACUUCAGUUGAUAUUCAUGAUCCAUGAAUUCCAGAAAUGAACUGCAACUUGCACUGAAAUUGCUUAUUGUACUAAUCAUUCUCAAUGUGCUCCCUGGUCAUUGAAGCAUGUCAGUUGAGAUUAUUAGAUGUGAAAUAUAUUACCAGUUUUGCUGAGAUGAAGUGUUUUGCCAUUGUUGACCAAAUAAAUUAUUAGCUGCAGUUAUCAUGCAGGAUGUAACUUGGUUAUUACCUAUUGGUCAGUUACACAU